UCCGGUUGGGUCUCUAAAAGGUAUAGGGGUGUGCAGAGCAGAGAGAGCAGAGCAACCUUCGCUUCGCCUUCGCCCUCGGCUCCGGCUCCGCUCCGGGGAAGAGGUGCGGGCUCCGGCUCCCCGGAUUCGACGGACCCGCGCUAGACGAGGGGGGGUGUGAGCUGGUCAUACGAGGCGUCGUUUCAAAACGUCUUCUGAUUUCUCUCGAACUCGUAUAGCUUCUUCGUGUUUUCUUCUAAAUGGGGAGUCAAAAACUUAGGACUUAAGAGAUCGAACAUCUUCUUCUUUCGGCCUUAAUAUCUAUUUCCUGUCUGGUGUUCGUUCAAAGGGUGGUUUUAUGUCAGAAACCGUCAUACUGAGGCUUUUUACACUAGGCAAAGUAAAACCACGACUAGGUACACUCGUCGACAAACCCAUCUAGUCCCUUUUACAAAAGAGGAUCGAAAUAGAGUCACCGCUUCAGUAACAGUUCGACCGGUUAAAAGUCGCGUCCCUAUAGACAUUGACAACGUGAACAAGACAGGAACAAAGAUUGAAAGCUCGUAGAGACGCGCAUGGUAGUUGGACUCCUCGUCUUCAAGAACUAACCAGAGUAAUACUACCAAGGUCAUAUACGACAAGUUAGUAAGAAGAGUAAUGACUUAAGUUUCCAACGAAAGUAGACACUCUACUACGCCCUAACAAUACUCCGUAAGCGUUACAUAACGAAACUCUCUAUAGACUAUCGUACGAAUCCACCCCUCCUUUCAUGGUAGUCUAUGUACCUCCUAGUCAAAGUUGGGUCACUAUCAAGAGGAAACGAUCUGCAACUAAUACUAAUACCAUAACACUUUGUAGGUAAGGGUAACUUGACCAAAUACUCUUUGACCAUGGAGCCAGGACUGAAAAUAAUACGGCACUUCUAACCGUAACACGUUAUGUACUAUGAGUUCGGAUAAACACGAUAGAACCGUUAAAACGAUCUUGAAGACCCAUAGAUACCUCUUCCUUUUAAACGUACCUCUAUACCCAUGGGUAUAAACCGACAACAGGAUUUAAAGUCGGUCUGUACCCGUAACAUGACAGAACAUGUCAAGAUGUGACGAUGGUUCCUCUUCGACCUUGGAUAAUUCGGGGACAGGUUCAAAGAUUGAAAGUUUAGAUAAUAUAAAAACUGUACCACCGUUCCAUAACGACAACGUAAAGACAAAAGUUGACCCGAAAAAUUACCUGUAGACCGUGUUUCAAACGUUUGUGCAUAGGUCCUAAUAUAUUAUACAGACCUCUACCCCCACCGCCGUCACCAAGUAUACUUUCAUAAAGGUCGAUUCGGGAUGUCCGCACCGCUCUCUUCACAAAUAUUACGACGACAGUACAGACUAAUACGUAGGGACCCCCGAGGUCUAGGACUUCUUCUUGUUCUCUAACUAUUAAAUUGUUAGUACCUUUGGAGAGCGGGACUAAGGUCUCUGUCCGCCAACUCAAAAGGAGUCUCACAAGCACUACAACACAAUCCUUCACCACUUUAAUACCAGCUACUACAGUCUAUGUGUCAGAGGGUGCAGCAACUCGGGUACCUUUCCUCAAAGUGCUUCUAUUUAUUCUGUGAGGUGGUUUAUAGACUCUUACACUUCGUCUAACUCUUCGUCUUCUCCUUCCGUUUCCUGCUGUCGGUAGAAUAAGGUGACCUUAGUACCAGUCUCCUUAAAAGUCUUCGAGUUCUAGUCCAAGUUCCACCAUCAAAAUCACUGUCACCUAAUCGAUCCUUUUCCAUGUUGUUUAAAGCGUCUGAGGCGUCCACCAAGAUCGUCAGACCACCACCCAAAAUUGGUGCCGCCGAUUGGAAAUGGGUCUUCAUCUUCAAAUAUGUAGUAAAUCCUGUGUGACUCCGUUUUCUUUCCGCUAAGGCCACUGAUUAUCAACGUCCUACCGAAGCCUCGAAGGGAUCAAGGAAGACAAAUACCGACUGGGACCGAGUCAAAGUCCUCCACGUCAAUGUACCCAAAAAGAUACUCUCACCGGAACAAACCAUGUUCGUUUUAUUUUUUAUUUUUUAAUCCGAGGCUAUUAAUGACUACAUUGGUGGGGGUUCGAAGAAACCUAAUUGUAUGUGACUUCCCUCUAUAAACAUGCUGACCUACUCGUAUAAAGUUAGUUUAGGAAUUUCGUGGAAAUCCGGGAC
rnacentral:rRNA from 1 species